AACGAACGCUGGCGGCAUGCCUAACACAUGCAAGUCGAACGAGACCUUCGGGUCUAGUGGCGCACGGGUGCGUAACGCGUGGGAACCUGCCCUUAGGUUCGGAAUAACUCCCCGAAAGGGGUGCUAAUACCGGAUAAUGUCUUCGGACCAAAGAUUUAUCACCUUUGGAUGGGCCCGCGUUGGAUUAGCUAGUUGGUAGGGUAAAAGCCUACCAAGGCGACGAUCCAUAGCUGGUCUGAGAGGAUGAUCAGCCACACUGGGACUGAGACACGGCCCAGACUCCUACGGGAGGCAGCAGAGGGGAAUAUUGGACAAUGGGCGAAAGCCUGAUCCAGCAAUGCCGCGUGAGUGAUGAAGGCCUUAGGGUUGUAAAGCUCUUUUACCCGGGAUGAUAAUGACAGUACCGGGAGAAUAAGCUCCGGCUAACUCCGUG
rnacentral:rRNA from 1 species